rnacentral:rRNA from 1 species
UGAGGAAUAUUGGACAAUGGGCGCAAGCCUGAUCCAGCCAUGCCGCGUGCAGGAUGACGGUCCUAUGGAUUGUAAACUGCUUUUGUACAGGAAGAAACAGUUCUACGUGUAGAACCUUGACGGUACUGUAAGAAUAAGGAUCGGCUAACUCCGUGCCAGCAGCCGCGGUAAUACGGAGGAUCCAAGCGUUAUCCGGAAUCAUUGGGUUUAAAGGGUCCGUAGGCGGUUAGAUAAGUCAGUGGUGAAAGCCCAUCGCUCAACGGUGGAACGGCCAUUGAUACUGUCUGACUUGAAUUAUUAGGAAGUAACUAGAAUAUGUAGUGUAGCGGUGAAAUGCUUAGAGAUUACAUGGAAUACCAAUUUGCGAAGGCAGGUUACUACUAAUGGAUUGACGCUGAUGGACGAAAGCGUGGGUAGCGAACAGGAUUAGAUACCCGCGUAGUCCCUGAG